rnacentral:rRNA from 1 species
GACGUAGGGUGCGAACGUUGUCCGGAUUUAUUGGGCGUAAAGAGCUCGUAGGCGGCUCGUCGCGUCGACCGUGAAAACCCGCGGCUUAACUGCGGGCUUGCGGUUGAUACGGGCGGGCUAGAGUUCGGUAGGGGAGACUGGAAUUCCUGGUGUAGCGGUGAAAUGCGCAGAUAUCAGGAGGAACACCGGUGGCGAAGGCGGGUCUCUGGGCCGAUACUGACGCUGAGGAGCGAAAGCGUGGGGAGCGAACAGG